AGGUGGGCCAUGUUGUCUCGCCCAGAUUUGGAAUCGCAUCGUAUCCACUCCUCACCAUGGCAUCAUGUGACUUCCCUCCUAGCUCUGAGCUGCCCACCUGCCUACACAUCUUUGAGGUUCUGCUACCAUCACACCCCUCACCUCACCCUUCGAGGCUCAGCUCAGAAACAGACUGUGAAAGACCUUCCAGCUCUCCCCAUCUCUCCACCAACAGACAUGCUGGCUCCAUUUUUUGAGUGGCUACUCAGUGCCCAGAAGCUUAUCUCGGGAAGCCUAAGGUGUCAUGACUUGCCCAAGGUGACACAGUUUCUUCCUACCUGCUCUCCUCAUCUCUCCCAGAAACCAUCUGUCAGCUGCAGUGGUCCCUAAUACCAGGUACUUGGCAUAUCAAGCGCCCAUGGCCUAGAUUCUAGGAGUCGACGAUGCCUACCGGAGUCAGGUCCCUGACAACUUUCUGUGACAGCUCUGAGACCUUGCAGGUGAAGGGCCCUAGGGCUUCCUCAGGUUCACAGCAACUUGCUCCUCAGUGCAGUUUAGGUCCAUGAUGGAGUCUUUGGCCGUCAUCAGUCCAGCAGAGGGUUGGGCUAUGGCAAACAUGGGGACCAGGAGAGCAUGGCUUUGUUCCGAGGACAGUGAGUAAAACCAUUGAGCUGGCACAGAGAGUUCUUUCAUAGAGGCAGGAGAAGAUGAGGUUGGAGGACCUCAAAAUCCCAGUUAAGGAACCUGGUCAUCAUCUUGUAAGGAGCACCAACAUUUUUGAAAAAUGAACUUUUCCUUGGGAAUAAUUUUGGAUUUACAGAGAAGUUUCAGAAAUGCCGUAGAGAGUUUCCAUAUAUCCCUUACCGUUCUCCCUAGUGCUAACAUCUUAUGGUGUAUGGUACAUUUGUUAAAACUAAGAAGCUGACAUUGGUGCAUUACUAUUGUUCAAACUCCAGACUUAAUUCGUAUUUCACUAGUUUUUCCACUAAAAUUUUCUUUUCUAUUCCACAAUCCUCUCCAGGAUACCAUUCUGCAUUUAGAUACCAACCUUUUUAAAGGAGAAUGUUAACAUUAUUAAAGGCAUUUUAGGAGAACCAUCUGACAGGAAUGGUCAAGUGAGAUAGGAAGGCAUUCCAGAACCUUCAAACUUCCAAAUACAUCCCACUGCCCAGCAUCUGAAGGAGCUCACCAUCUUGAAAGUGCAGUUGCCAGGAAGAGGAAACCUGGGCCAUUGGAAGCAUCUCUGUGCCUGUUCAGGGUUCAGGGGGCCAAAGAUAUAUUUAGGGUACACUUGGGAGCCAAGAAAAAGAAAACUCCUUCCUUGGGAAUUCUCUGGCAGUCCAGUAGUUAGGACACCAUGCUUUCACUGCUGAGGGCCCAUGUUUGAUCCCUGGUUGGAAAACUAAAAAAAAAAAAAAAAAAGAGAGAGAGAGAGAGACACCUGGGAGCCUCUGCCUAGCAGUGCUGCAAGCUAGAAGGUCUUCCUGCCUACGCACCCAAAGUUGGCUGGUAACCCAGACAGGUAGCCAAAGAAAUGCAUGUUUGCCUUCUUUUCUGAAAGUCUAGACUUGUCUCCCUUACAAUUCAGUUUGGUGUUGUGGAAAGAGAACAGGCUCUAGGAUCAGGAUGGCCCAGGAUUUAAGUCUUGACUCCACCACUUAUUGUGGGACCAUGUGUGACUUACUGAACCUCUCUGAGCUUCAGUUUCCUCACUAAUAAUAACUGUUAUAUUAAACUUCUUUAAUAAGAUUAUUGAGAGGAUUGAUUAACAUUUACAAAGUGUUCAGUAGGGGGUCUGGCACACAAGAGGUAUUCAGUAAUCAAUUGGCUCCCUUGACAACAGGAGGGUAGGGCUGAGCCCAUAAUUUUCUUGCAUAUCCUCAAACUGCUUAACAUGUGCAAAGCAAUUCAUACAUUGAUGAUUGUGAUAUGGAGCUCACAAACCCAAUGACUUCAGGAAGAGCAGAUCAUGACGCCAACUACAGCAUUCAUUUAUUGAGCAAGUCUCUAUUAGUCACUCACUAAAUAUCAAUAAAUAGGUAAUGCCAGGCUCUGUGCUAAGUGAC
rnacentral:lncRNA from 1 species